rnacentral:rRNA from 1 species
GACGAACGCUGGCGGCGUGCCUAAUACAUGCAAGUUGAGCGAUGAAGCUUGGUGCUUGCACCAAUUUGAAGAGCAGCGAACGGGUGAGUAACGCGUGGGGAAUCUGCCUUUGAGCGGGGGACAACAUUUGGAAACGAAUGCUAAUACCGCAUAACAAAUUUAAACAUAAGUUUUAAGAUUGAAAGAUGCAAUUGCAUCACUCAAAGAUGAUCCCGCGUUGUAUUAGCUAGUUGGUAAGGUAAAGGCUUACCAAGGCGAUGAUACAUAGCCGACCUGAGAGGGUGAUCGGCCACAUUGGGACUGAGACACGGCCCAAACUCCUACGGGAGGCAGCAGUAGGGAAUCUUCGGCAAUGGACGAAAGUCUGACGGAGCAACGCCGCGUGAGUGAUGAAGGUUUUCGGAUCGUAAAACUCUGUUAGUAGGGAAGAACAUAUGUGAAAGUAGAAAUCUCAUCAAGUGACGUUAACUACCCAGAAAGGAACGGCUAACUACGU